CCUACGGGUGGCAGCAGUGAGGAAUAUUGGUCAAUGGGCGUAAGCCUGAACCAGCCAAGUCGCGUGAGGGAUGACGGUUCUAUGGGUCGUAAACCUCUUUUAUAAGGGAAUAAAGUGCGGGACGUGUCCCGUUUUGUAUGUACCUUAUGAAUAAGGAUCGGCUAACUCCGUGCCAGCAGCCGCGGUAAUACGGAGGAUCCGAGCGUUAUCCGGAUUUAUUGGGUUUAAGGGGUUCGUAGGCGGGCUGUUAAUUCAGCUGUGAAAGGCUGUGGCUCAAACAUAGAAUUGCAGUUGAGACUGGUAGGCUUGAGUAUGUUUGAGGCAGGCGGAAUGCGUGGUGUAGCGGUGAAAUGCUUAGAUAUCACGCAGAACCCCGAUUGCGAAGGCAGCCUGCCAAGCCAUGACUGACGCUGAUGCACGAAAGCGUGGGGAUCAAACAGGAUUAGAUACCCGUGUAGUC
rnacentral:rRNA from 1 species